rnacentral:miRNA from 1 species
AUGUGUGUAUGUACAUGCGUGUAUAUGUAUACAUAUAUACAUACACACAUACACAUA